GCAACUUCCUCUUUUUUUUUUCAACAAAUCUUUUAUCAACUUAGAAUAAAUAGGAAAUUAUUCUAAUGCCUUGUUAUGGGAAUUGGAUCCAUGUAUGAUUGGAUAAAUCUAAUAGUCAAAAGAAUAACAAAGAGAAAAAUAUAAUUUAAAGAAGCGGGAGCAAUUUUUUUAGUUUUAAUUUUUUUUAUUUAUAACUCGAGAAUACAAAAUUCAAUCAAAAAGAUCACAACACUCAUAUAAUUUGUUGUUACGUACGUUUUUU
rnacentral:lncRNA from 1 species